UAUUUUUUUAAACUUAAAAUGUUUUUAAAUAUCAUUUUUCUAUUUCAUCCUUCUCAUUUUUAUCAAUCUUUUUUACAGACUGAUAUAGUUUAUCAGUCUUGUAUUAUAUGUCGAUGGCGAAAUCUUACUUCCUUCUGCGUUCUUGACGAGCCCCUUUUAUUCACCUAAAAAGUGCAUUUUAUUCACAAGAAACACGCCACGUAGCGGUGAGUAGUGAAGGUUUCACAGAGCUUCGGUAGAUAAUUGAAGGACGUUUUGUGGAUCAUUAGUAGAAGAGCCUCAAUUCCACGAAACGUCCGUCAGUCGUCCAUCGAGGCUCCGUGAAGCCUCUACUAAUGAUCUACGAAACGUCCAUCAGUCGUCAUCAAGGAUCCAUGAAGCAUCUACCAAUGAUCCGUGAAACAUCCAUUAGUCGUUCAUCGAAACUCCCUCAAAUUUUUAUUAAUUAUCCGCGUAACACGUAUAAUGAAUAUCUUUUAAGAUGUUUGACAGAAAGGACCCCGCACACAUCUUAUAGAAAAGUGUUCCCGGUCAAAUGGGCUGAAAGUGAGAUAUAAUGUACUCCAUGACGCGCUGAUCAAAUAUGUCCAUAGGACCAGGGUCUGAAAAUCUCUACAUUUUGAUAUACGGAGCUUUGAAUGUUGAAAAUAUGGCAUUUUUGAUUAUCGUGUCUCGUAGAUGAUUGGGUUUCUUGAUGCGAUGGAUCAUCUAUUUGACUGUCAUCAUGGAAGUAAAUAUUUUAUAGAGCUAUAGAAGUUUAGUGGAUCUCUAAUGGACGUCUAUCUAACUUUCAUCGUGGAAGUAAACCUCCAAUGGAGCCAUGGAAGUUUAUUGGAUCUGUAAUAAACGUUCAUCUGACUUCCAUCAUGGAUGUAAUCAUCCAAUGAAGCCAUGGAAGUUUACUGGAUCUCUGAUGGACGUCCAACUGACUUCCACCAUGGAAGUAAACAUCUAAUGGAGCCAUAAAAGUUUACUAGAUCUCCAAUGGACGUCCCAUGGAUCUAUGGAGGUUUAAUGUCCAUUGGAUGUCCACUGGAUGCCAAUUUCUAUGUUACGAUCUUUUUCUAAAUAAAAUUUGUUAAAAAUAAAUUCUUCUAAAUUGAGGGGUUAACUAUCUUAAAAUUUUAAACCAAAAAUCGAUUUUUUUUGCUAAAAACAUACCUUAGGCUAUCAAAGAUAAUAUGGUGUUGGAAUAGCGAUAAAUUAAGUUUUUUUAUUUAAAAAUAUCGUUACAACUUUAAACAUGUUUUUUUUCAAAACUGCAUUUUUAAAAUUGGCAAGCAGCUAAAUUCAAACAAUUUUGAAACGAUUUACUUCAAAUUUUAACAGUAUCUAUGAGACUAAAUUGUCUAAAAUAGUACACAUGGAUUUUAUAAUUUAUUAAGUGUUUUUUAAGUUAUUCAACAUUUUUCACGUACGCAAUUUUUCCCCAAAAAAGAAUAUUUUUCUUUUAAGUAAUUACCAUUUUUUUUCAAAAAUAAAUGUUUUUUAAUAUCCAUGUGUACUUGUAAUUAUUUGAUUUAAUAUCCAUGGGUACUGUAGUAAUUCAUGUAAAUAAUGAAGAUUUUUAGUUUUGCCCUACGAUCAUUUAGUGACGACUUCUACUACUUGCCGCGGAGCAUGUUUCAAAAAAGUCGCGUUGCACUCUGUGGAACUAUAGUUGUCAUUUUGAAAAAAUUAAAA